AAGACGAGGAAUGUUUCACAAGAAAAAAGGAUAAACAAUUGAUGGGUGAAGCAUUACCUGAAUCAA
rnacentral:sRNA from 1 species